rnacentral:rRNA from 1 species
UCGUGGCGUGAGUCGUCUGCUUAAUUGCGAUAACGAGCGAGACUCCGACUGUUAAAUAGGGGUGGGUUCUCUUCGACCCACAACCUUCUUAACUGGAUUCGCGGCUUCAAGCCGCAAGAAAUGGAGCAAUAACA